CAGUCGCCGCGGUAAUACGUAGGUGGCAAGCGUUGUCCGGAAUUAUUGGGCGUAAAGGGCUCGCAGGCGGUUUCUUAAGUCUGAUGUGAAAGCCCCCGGCUCAACCGGGGAGGGUCAUUGGAAACUGGGAAACUUGAGUGCAGAAGAGGAGAGUGGAAUUCCACGUGUAGCGGUGAAAUGCGUAGAGAUGUGGAGGAACACCGGUGGCGAAGGCGGCGACCUGGUCUUUAACUGACGCUGAGGCGCGAAAGCGUGGGGAGCAAACAGGAUUAGAUACCCCAGUAGUCCCUGUCUCUUAUAC
rnacentral:rRNA from 1 species